UCCCUGGUGGCUCAGACGGUAAAGCGUCUGCCUGCAGUGCGGGAGACCCAGGUUCGAUUCCUGGGUCGGGAA
rnacentral:tRNA from 1 species